CUCACACCUGCAGCCAGGCUGCAAGAUUAGCACGCAGAGAACACCUCCCCAGGGAAGAGGGAUUCUCCUCAGUUAAAACUAAAUGAAAUAAAACAACGCCUGAAAACGUGCUGGGAAAUCACCCUGAAAACAAGAAGCACAGCCCCCGAUAAUGGUGAUGGAUGGACAGACAGACGCACCUCCAUCACAGCGCCCAUUCACCCAGCGCCACACAGCAGCCGGUCCAGCAGCAUCCUGGUGCAGAGCUCAACCAGAGAGCAACCAGUUAAUUACCACACCGUCAUUAAGGCCUUCAAGUGUAUGUUUCAUUAGUGCUGCAUAAUAAAAUAAUUGCAGACAUGGGAAGGGAUUUGCCUUUUUCUUUUCCCCUAUGAGAUUGUCCUACAGAGAAGCAGCAUUGCGUGGAGAGCAUCAGUAAGCACAGGGAUGCGCACUGCGAUGGGCACAGGACUGCCCCUCCAGACUGGUUCAGCCCCUGCAACGCGGUGGCGGAGCUGCACGAAGAGGAGCAGCGCUCAGUUCCAACUCCCAAAGGAUAAAGCCUCACCCAACCGCUCGGGGCUGCGGACCAAAGGCACCGUGAGCAUCUCACCCUGAGAUGGGUGGGGGUGAACCUUCCUCAGGAUCGCCGGCAGUGGGCACAUCCUGAAGCUGUCAGUUUGUAACUUUCCCACUGGAAAACGCGGUUCCAGCGCUUCCAGCCCUGCAGCAGCUCAUGCCACAGCUCUUUGAUAAAUGGAUUGAGAGGUUUGCCUGGUUCUGACGGCUCUGCUGUACACACUGCUGAAAUACAAGGCUGUAAUUCCUCACCGCAGCUCUCACAACAGACAUACUCCCUCCAGCAAGAGCACCUGUCCUCACCGCAAUAGAGACGCACAAAGGGCCAGGUUUGCUUUCUGUGUUACACCAGUGUGAAUCAGGAGUCGGUGCACUGACUUCAAUUCGGAAGCAUCAACCUGAACGAGAGGAAACUGUGGCCCUAAUACACAGCCUUUAUGCAGUGCCAGAAGCCAUCGGCCUCCUCCCGGCCCCUCUUGUGUGCCUCAGCCCCAGGACAACGCUCCCGCACCCAGCCACCAGACAAGGAGCUGGGAUGGAGCACAUCUACCAUGGACAGCAGCUGUGCAAGGAGACACAUGGCCAAAGCAAUGGUGCACAGCCUAUUUUGAAGCUGUACAGUGACAGGGCGGUGCACCAGGGACUGACCUGGAGUUCUCAGCAUCACUGGUGGGAGCCAUAGACACUGAUGUUUCAUGUCACUGCAAAAAUCUGAUGUUUUCUUCUGUUUGCUGUCAGCCAUCAGCCUGUCUCUAACAUUUCUGCAGCAAGGACCAGCAGCCAAGAGGGGCUCAAGCAGCAGCUGGGAGGCUGCAAUUGCUCCUUCCUCACCGUUUUAACCCAACUUCCCUUCCUGAGGUCCCAUCUGGCUUCUGCCUGCUCCUGGGUUUGGUUCAGCACUGCAGGGUGCAGGCUGGAAGCACCGGGGCUGCCUUCCUCCCGGCUGAGCAUGAGAGCAUCUCGCUCCCACUGGUGUUUUGAUGUUGCUAUGGUGAUUGCCAAGCGAUAAAUCUUGAUUAUUAUUGCCCAGCGCUUUAAGCCGCAAGCGAAAGCAACCUUUCUGAAGCUGCUGGGUUCCCUUUGUUUCCAUUCUCUACCUCCUCCUGGCUUUUAUGUGCACAGAUCUCUCCCCACAGCGCACAGCCAGGCAGUCUGUGCUGAGCAUCCCACCCAUGGGCCAAGGGUGGUCCAGACCCACCGCACCUUCAACCAGCAUCACAGCUGCACCACACCUGCUCUGAUGGGACACAUCCACAGCCUUAGCUUUCCUUUCUGCACCCUGAAG
ensembl:lncRNA